GACUUCUGAGUGCAGACUGGAGGAGCUGUGGACAGAGAGGUGGGAAGGUAGCAAGAGAGGGAAGACCAGUUAAGGGCCCUUGAAAUAAUCAAGGUGUCAUACGAGAGCUUUGCGACCAGAGGACUCAGGACUUAGACACAGCUUGCAUGGGGAGCACAAAGCUUCAGGCCCCACAAAACCUAACUCUGCCCCUGGAAAAUCUGAGGCUCUGAAUGGUGAAGUUAUUCGUCCCAGGACACAGGCCCGAUGAACAACAGAAGCAGAAGUCGACCCAGGUAUCUUUUGGAUGAGGUUAACAUUUAAAUCAGUGGACUUUGAGUGAAGCAGAUGACCCUCUAUAAAGUGGCUGGGCCUCACCCAGUCAGUUGAAGGCCUGCACAGAG